rnacentral:snRNA from 1 species
ACCAUGACCAGGCAGGUGGCUUUCCCAGGGCGAGGCUCAUCCCCUGCACUCCAGAUGUGCUGACCCCUGCGAUUUCCCCAAUUGCAGGAAACUCGACUGCAUAAUUUGUGGUAGCAGGGGACUGCGUUCAUGCUCUCCCCUG